UAUGUGUCGCCCCGAGAUGCCAUGAUUCCCAUAUCCCCACUCCUUCCACCUCUGGCUAGGGUUCGAUCUCGUGCAGGAGGUUGGUGGAGAGAGGGACUCGCGCGGGAGGUUGCCGAGCUCGUCCGCGGAGUGUGAGGCACGCCGGAAGACGGUGAGCUCGUCGGUGGAGAACAAGCCGCGCGCGGGAGGGCGGGAGUUCGUCGGCGGUGAGUGAGGCACACUCGAGCUUGUCGACGCGGAGCAACCAGCGCAUGAGUGCGGGGAGAUCGGCGAUGAAGUGGGAGGAUCGCUAGAGGGCAUCAAGGUUGGGGACGGAGGGCAAGGUGGUGAAGAGCUCGGGGGCGGUAGAUCAGAGACGGUGAGCAAAUCUCACAAAUCCUGAGGUCUUGAGCUCUGUACACUUGAUUCCCCUCGAGGUAUUUGUAUUUCACCUCCCAAGGAAAGGAGCAAUUCUGGCGUGUGGACAUUCUCCGCCAUGGCAGUAAUCUAAAGCUUGAGAUGGUCUUGUUUGUGCCUCAAGACACCGUAUGUAUUUCUACCUGACAUCUUCUUGUCUGUCUCAAUGAUUGAGCCAAGGCUGCCGGCCCUCGCCAUGUGAGGUCGAAGAAUGACAUGUAUAUGUCAAAAUCGAGCGUUUGCUCUAUAUUAUCGUGUAGAAUACCAACUGCAGACUGGACGUAUGUUAAUCACUACCAGCAACAUGUUAGUUCAGUUUAAUUACCGUUUUUUUCCUGAUGUGCCACUUUAUUUCGAUUCAUAGCACUUUGCAUGACUAAGGACAAAUUGUAUGUUU